rnacentral:rRNA from 1 species
AAAGUGGGGGACCUUCGGGCCUCAUGCCAUCAGAUGUGCCCAGAUGGGAUUAGCUAGUAGGUGGGGUAACGGCUCACCUAGGCGACGAUCCCUAGCUGGUCUGAGAGGAUGACCAGCCACACUGGAACUGAGACACGGUCCAGACUCCUACGGGAGGCAGCAGUGGGGAAUAUUGCACAAUGGGCGCAAGCCUGAUGCAGCCAUGCCGCGUGUGUGAAGAAGGCCUUCGGGUUGUAAAGCACUUUCAGCGGGGAGGAAGGCGGUGAGGUUAAUAACCUUGUCGAUUGACGUUACCCGCAGAAGAAGCACCGGCUAACUCCGUGCCA